rnacentral:rRNA from 1 species
UGGCGGCGUGCUUAAACAUGCAAGUCGUACGAUGAUCUUGGGGUUUCGGCUCUGGGGGAUUAGUGGCGAACGGGUGAGUAACACGUGAGUAACCUGCCUCACGCUUUGGGAUAACUGCUUGAAAGGGCAGCUAAUACCGGGUAUGACCUUCUGGCGCAUGCUGGGGGGUGGAAAGCCUUCGGGUGGCGUGGGAUGGGCUCGCGGCCUAUCAGCUUGUUGGUGGGGUGAUGGCCUACCAAGGCGGUGACGGGUAGCCGGCCUGAGAGGGCGACCGGCCACACUGGGACUGAGAUACGGCCCAGACUCCUACGGGAGGCAGCAGUGGGGAAUAUUGCGCAAUGGGCGAAAGCCUGACGCAGCGACGCCGCGUGGGGGAUGGAGGCCUUCGGGUUGUGAACCCCUUUCGCUGGGGGAGAAGCUCAUGCUUUUUGGUGUGGGUGACGGUACCUGGUAAAGAAGCGCCGGCUAACUACGUGCCAGCAGCCGCGGUAAUACGUAGGGCGCGAGCGUUGUCCGGAAUUAUUGGGCGUAAAGGGCUCGUAGGCGGCUGGUCGCGUCUGUCGUGAAAUCCUCUGGCUCAACUGGGGGCUUGCGGUGGGUACGGGCUGGCUUGAGUGCGGUAGGGGAGAUUGGAACUCCUGGUGUAGCGGUGGAAUGCGCAGAUAUCAGGAAGAACACCGAUGGCGAAGGCAGGUCUCUGGGCCGUCACUGACGCUGAUGAGCGAGAGCGUGGGGAGCGAACAGGAUUAGAUACCCUGGUAGUCCACGCCGUAAACGUUGGGCACUAGGUGUGGGGUUUGUCUUUAUGGCUGGUUCCGCGCCGUAGCUAACGCAUUAAGUGCCCCGCCUGGGGAGUACGGCCGCAAGGCUAAAACUCAAAGGAAUUGACGGGGCCCCGCACAAGCGGCGGAGCAUGCGGAUUAAUUCGAUGCAACGCGAAGAACCUUACCAAGGCUUGAAAUGCGAGGAAAUCCGGUGGAGACAUCGGGUCGGUUUUGUCCGGUCUCGUGCAGGUGGUGCAUGGUUGUCGUCAGCUCGUGUCGUGAGAUGUUGGGUUAAGUCCCGCAACGAGCGCAACCCUUGUCUUAUGUUGCCAGCGGUUCGGCCGGGGACUCAUGAGAGACUGCCGGGGUUAACUCGGAGGAAGGUGGGGAUGACGUCAAAUCAUCAUGCCCCUUAUGUCUUGGGCUUCACGCAUGCUACAAUGGCCGGUACAGCGGGUUGCGAUGUCGUAAGGCGGAGCGAAUCCCUGAAAGCCGGUCUCAGUUCGGAUUGGGGUCUGCAACUCGACCCCAUGAAGUCGGAGUCGCUAGUAAUCGCGGAUCAGCAACGCCGCGGUGAAUGCGUUCCCGGGGCUUGUACACACCGCCCGUCACGUCAUGAAAGUCGGCAACACCCGAAGCCCGCGGCCUAACCUUUUGGGGGAGCGGUCGAAG